rnacentral:tRNA from 1 species
GCCUUCGUAGUGUAGUGGUCAGCACGCUCGACGCGAAUUCGAGAGGUCCGCGCUUCGAGUCCCGGCGAGGGCA